rnacentral:rRNA from 1 species
GACGAACGCUGGCGGCGUGCUUAACACAUGCAAGUCGAACGGAAAGGCCCUGCUUUUGUGGGGUGCUCGAGUGGCGAACGGGUGAGUAACACGUGAGUAACCUGCCCUUGACUUUGGGAUAACUUCAGGAAACUGGGGCUAAUACCGGAUAGGAGCUCCUGCUGCAUGGUGGGGGUUGGAAAGUUUCGGCGGUUGGGGAUGGACUCGCGGCUUAUCAGCUUGUUGGUGGGGUAGUGGCUUACCAAGGCUUUGACGGGUAGCCGGCCUGAGAGGGUGACCGGGCACAAUGCGACUGAGGGAGGGCGCAGUGUCGUACGGGAGGCAGUAGGCGCGAGUAUUACACAGUGAGAGCAAGUGUGAGGAGACAGCGUUGCGGGCGGGAAGACGGCUUGUUGGGAGAGAAAAGCUGUAGGUUGAGACGAAGCGUGAGUGACGGUAACGGGUAAAGAAGCACCGGCUAACUACGUG